GGAAACAGUAAAACAAAGCAUGUCUAUAGAAAAAAACUCUUAGUUCAUGGUUCCGUUCUCACUCGUCGACUGAUCAGGACAAGCAACAGAAACCCAUUUAUUCAAUAAGUAAAGUGACAAAAAAAAAAGAGGGAAUUCCACGCUCUGCAUUUCUCCACAUUAGAAAAAAGCACAAGCGCCUCCCUGAAAAGUCAGAAGCUACUGAGUCCACAGCUCUUAAAUUUAUUUUUCUUCCUUACAAGCGGUAAAACUAUGUGAUUUGGAAGAUAGCAGCAGAUUAUUUGCAGGCAGAUAUGAGGUGUAGC
rnacentral:misc_RNA from 1 species